GAUGAACGCUAGCUACAGGCUUAACACAUGCAAGUCGAGGGGCAGCAUGGUCUUAGCUUGCUAAGGCCGAUGGCGACCGGCGCACGGGUGAGUAACACGUAUCCAACCUGCCGUCUACUCUUGGACAGCCUUCUGAAAGGAAGAUUAAUACAAGAUGGCAUCAUGAGUCCGCAUGUUCACAUGAUUAAAGGUAUUCCGGUAGACGAUGGGGAUGCGUUCCAUUAGAUAGUAGGCGGGGUAACGGCCCACCUAGUCUUCGAUGGAUAGGGGUUCUGAGAGGAAGGUCCCCCACAUUGGAACUGAGACACGGUCCAAACUCCUACGGGAGGCAGCAGUGAGGAAUAUUGGUCAAUGGGCGAGAGCCUGAACCAGCCAAGUAGCGUGAAGGAUGACUGCCCUAUGGGUUGUAAACUUCUUUUAUAAAGGAAUAAAGUCGGGUAUGCAUACCCGUUUGCAUGUACUUUAUGAAUAAGGAUCGGCUAACUCCGUGCCAGCAGCCGCGGUAAUACGGAGGAUCCGAGCGUUAUCCGGAUUUAUUGGGUUUAAAGGGAGCGUAGAUGGAUGUUUAAGUCAGUUGUGAAAGUUUGCGGCUCAACCGUAAAAUUGCAGUUGAUACUGGAUAUCUUGAGUGCAGUUGAGGCAGGCGGAAUUCGUGGUGUAGCGGUGAAAUGCUUAGAUAUCACGAAGAACUCCGAUUGCGAAGGCAGCCUGCUAAGCUGCAACUGACAUUGAGGCUCGAAAGUGUGGGUAUCAAACAGGAUUAGAUACCCUGGUAGUCCACACGGUAAACGAUGAAUACUCGCUGUUUGCGAUAUACAGCAAGCGGCCAAGCGAAAGCGUUAAGUAUUCCACCUGGGGAGUACGCCGGCAACGGUGAAACUCAAAGGAAUUGACGGGGGCCCGCACAAGCGGAGGAACAUGUGGUUUAAUUCGAUGAUACGCGAGGAACCUUACCCGGGCUUAAAUUGCAGAUGAAUUACGGUGAAAGCCGUAAGCCGCAAGGCAUCUGUGAAGGUGCUGCAUGGUUGUCGUCAGCUCGUGCCGUGAGGUGUCGGCUUAAGUGCCAUAACGAGCGCAACCCUUGUUGUCAGUUACUAACAGGUUCCGCUGAGGACUCUGACAAGACUGCCAUCGUAAGAUGUGAGGAAGGUGGGGAUGACGUCAAAUCAGCACGGCCCUUACGUCCGGGGCUACACACGUGUUACAAUGGGGGGGUACAGAGGGCCGCUACCACGCGAGUGGAUGCCAAUCCCAAAAACCUCUCUCAGUUCGGACUGGAGUCUGCAACCCGACUCCACGAAGCUGGAUUCGCUAGUAAUCGCGCAUCAGCCACGGCGCGGUGAAUACGUUCCCGGGCCUUGUACACACCGCCCGUCAAGCCAUGGGAGCCGGGGGUACCUGAAGUGCGUAACCGCGAGGAG
rnacentral:rRNA from 1 species